CGGGACGGGUGAGUAACGCGUGGGUAACCUGCCUCAUACAGGGGGAUAACAGUUGGAAACGACUGCUAAUACCGCAUAAGCGCACGGGAUUGCAUGAUCCAGUGUGAAAAACUCCGGUGGUAUGAGAUGGACCCGCGUCUGAUUAGCCAGUUGGCGGGGUAGCGGCCCACCAAAGCGACGAUCAGUAGCCGACCUGAGAGGGUGACCGGCCGCAUUGGGACUGAGACACGGCCCAA
rnacentral:rRNA from 1 species